rnacentral:sRNA from 14 species
CGCAAUUAUAAUUGAAAACGUGAUCUUUCUAUAUAAACUUUGAGCCACUGGCUAACCAAUUUAGCGAUUUCUCUGUCAAUAAAUAAUCAUUGACAAAUUUCAAACAUUAUCAGUCUCAGUUCUAAGUUUCAACAUGCGCUUCUUUCUCAUAACGAUUGCCCUUGUGGCUGUUAUCCUAAACAUGGCUUUGGCUGCCCCACUUGAUGACGUUCGGGUUCAUCAAUUUGCUUCAAAAGAUACGACGAUGAUAGGCAAUGGUAAUUCAGCCAAGACACUUUUGGGAGUUGACCAGACACAGGUCGGUGUAGGAGCCGCUGCAGAUGUUUUGACAAGCACUCAACAACUGUUGAGUGGGAAAAAGGGAUAAGCAUUUAAUGACAUGGCCUUGAAGUAUAAAAAAUGUUCUUCUCAAAUGUUUACCCAUAAAGAGUUUUAUUCUCAAUCUUAAAAUCAAUUUAAAAACAAUAAAAAUUGCAUAACAAUGAAA